rnacentral:rRNA from 1 species
UACGUAGGGUGCAAGCGUUAAUCGGAAUUACUGGGCGUAAAGCGUGCGCAGGCGGUUUUGUAAGUCUGACGUGAAAUCCCCGGGCUUAACCUGGGAAUUGCGUUGGAGACUGCAAGGCUGGAGUCUGGCAGAGGGGGGGUAGAAUUCCACGUGUAGCAGUGAAAUGCGUAGAGAUGCGGAGGAACACCGAUGGCGAAGGCAGCCCCCCUGGGCUAACACUGACGCUCAGGCACGAAAGCGUGGGGAGCAAACAGG